rnacentral:rRNA from 1 species
AACAGGAUUAGAUACCCUGGUAGUCCACGCCGUAAACGAUGAUAACUAGCUGUCCGGGAACUUGGUUUUUGGGUGGCGCAGCUAACGCAUUAAGUUAUCCGCCUGAGGAGUACGGCCGCAAGGUUAAAACUCAAAUGAAUUGACGGGGGCCUGCACAAGCGGUGGAGCAUGUGGUUUAAUUCGAAGCAACGCGCAGAACCUUACCAGCGUUUGACAUGUCCGGACGAUUUCCAGAGAUGGAUCUCUUCCCUUCGGGGACUGGAACACAGGUGCUGCAUGGCUGUCGUCAGCUCGUGUCGCGAGAUGUUGGGUUAAGUCCCGCAACGAGCGCAACCCUCGCCUUUAGUUACCAUCAUUCAGUUGGGUACUCUAAAGGAACCGCCGGUGAUAAGCCGGAGGAAGGUGGGGAUGACGUCAAGUCCUCAUGGCCCUUACGCGCUGGGCUACACACGUGCUACAAUGGCAGGUACAGUGGGCAGCAAUCCCGCGAGGGUGAGCUAAUCUCCAAAACCUGUCUCAGUUCGGAUUGCACUCUGCAACUCGAGUGCAUGAAGGCGGAAUCGCUAGUAAUCGCGGAUCAGCAUGCCGCGGUGAAUACGUUCCCAGGCCUUGUACACACCGCCCGUCACACCAUGGGAGUUGGAUUCACCCGAAGGCGUUGCGCUAACUCGUAAGAGAGGCAGGCGACCACGGUGGGUUUAGCGACUGGGGUGAAGUCGUAACAAGGUAACC